GACGAACGCUGGCGGCGUGCUUAACACAUGCAAGUCGAACGGAAAGGCCCUGCUUUUGUGGGGUGCUCGAGUGGCGAACGGGUGAGUAACACGUGAGUAACCUGCCCUUGACUUUGGGAUAACUUCAGGAAACUGGGGCUAAUACCGGAUAGGAGCUCCUGCUGCAUGGUGGGGGUUGGAAAGUUUCGGCGGUUGGGGAUGGACUCGCGGCUUAUCAGCUUGUUGGUGGGGUAGUGGCUUACCAAGGCUUUGACGGGUAGCCGGCCUGAGAGGGUGACCGGCCACAUUGGGACUGAGGUACGGCGCAGACUCCUACGGGAGGCAGCAGUGGGGAAUAUUGCACAAUGGGCGGAAGCCUGAUGCAGCAACGCCGCGUGCGGGAUAACGGCCUUCGAGUUGUAAACCGCUUUCGCCUGUGACGAAGCGUGAGUGACGGUAAUGGGUAAAGAAGCACCGGCUAACUACGUG
rnacentral:rRNA from 1 species